rnacentral:rRNA from 1 species
AUGAGCCAAUGGCAUACGUGGCAACUCAUCAGUGGCCGAAGGCCCGCAAACGCAGAACACCAGCUUAAUCACAGUAGUUUCUUGUAUGCUCAACGAUCAGUUACUGAAUAUCAAAUUCAGUUAAGAAUUUUAUUACUACUUGUGUAUGCUCCUGUAUGCUCCUGUUUGUUAAGAAUUUCCUCUACUCAGACCACUAACACCAGUCUUCCUCUCCUUUGCUGUUAUGCAGAAAUGCCACGUCAAGAACAAGGAUAUCAGGAAGUUCUUGGACGGUAUCUACGUCAGCGACAAGGGCGCCAUCAAGGAGGAGUAGAGUGCGAAAACCGUCCUAAAAGCCAUGUUUCGGCCUGCCGUGUUUCAUUGUCUUUGUGUCGUCGUCAUGAUUUUGAACUUUCUCUAGACUGA